rnacentral:rRNA from 1 species
UGAACGCUGGCGGCGUGGAUUAGGCAUGCAAGUCGAACGCGAAAGGGAUUCUUCGGAAACCUGAGUAGAGUGGCGAACUGGUGAGUAACGCUUGGGUAACUUGCCCUCGAAUGGGGAACAUGUCCGAAAGACGUAAAUUCCGCAUGACAUCUCCUGCUCGCAUGUGCGGGAGAUCAAAGGUGCCCUCUGUUUCAUGGUGCCGUUCGAGGAUGGACCCGAGUCCUAUUAGCUUGUUGGUGAGGUAACGGCCCACCAAGGCUCUGAUGGGUAGCUGGCCUGAGAGGGUGGUCAGCCACACUGGGAUUGAGAUACUGCCCAGACUCCUAAGGGAGGCAGCAGUCGAGAGGCAUCCGCAAUGGGCGAAAGCCCGACGGUGCGACGCCGCGUGGACGAUGAAGGCUUUCGGGUUGUAAAGUCCUGUCACAGGGGGGAGAACCGUACCCAGCCGAAUAAGCUGAGUACCUGACGUUGCCCCUGGAGAAAGGCCCGGCUAACUCC